rnacentral:rRNA from 1 species
GGAAAGGCGAAAAGAACCCCGGCGAGGGGAGUGAAAAAGAACCUGAAACCGUGUACGUACAAGCAGUGGGAGCACCUUCGGGUGUGACUGCGUACCUUUUGUAUAAUGGGUCAGCGACUUAUAUUCUGUAGCAAGGUUAACCGUAUAGGGGAGCCGCAGGGAAACCGAGUCUAACUGGGCGUAAGUUGCAGGGUAUAGACCCGAAACCCGGUGAUCUAGCCAUGGGCAGGUUGAAGGUUGGGUAACACUAACUGGAGGACCGAACCGACUAAUGUUGAAAAUUAGCGGAUGACUUGUGGCUGGGGGUGAAAGGCCAAUCAAACCGGGAGAUAGCUGGUUCUCCCCGAAAGCUAUUUAGGUAGCUGCCUCGUGAACU